rnacentral:rRNA from 1 species
GAUGAACGCUAGCGGCAGGCCUAAUACAUGCAAGUCGAACGGUGUCUUCGGACAUAGUGGCGCACGGGUGCGUAACACGUAUGCAACCUACCUUACAUUGGGGGAUAGCCUCUCGAAAGGGAGAUUAAUACCGCAUAAGACAGUAGCUGGGCAUCCAGCAGCUGUUAAAGAUUUAUCGAUGUAAGCUGGGCAUGCGUCCAAUUAGCUAGUUGGUGAGGUAACGGCUCACCAAGGCAAUGAUUGGUAGGGGAACUGAGAGGUCAAUCCCCCACACUGGCACUGAGAUACGGGCCAGACUCCUCCGGGAGGCAGCAGUAGGGAAUAUUGGGCAAUGGACGCAAGUCUGACCCAGCCAUGCCGCGUGCAGGAUGAAGGCGUUAUGCGUUGUAAACUGCUUUUAUACAGGAAGAAACGACUCUUGCGAGAGGCAUUGACGGUACUGUAUGAAUAAGCACCGGCUAACUCCGUGCCAGCAGCCGCCGUAAGAC